rnacentral:rRNA from 1 species
AGAGUUUGAUUCUGGCUCAGGAUGAACGCUAGCGGGAGGCCUAAUACAUGCAAGUCGAAGGCAGCGGGGGCUUCGGCCUGCCGGCGAGUGGCGCACGGGUGAGUAACGCGUACGCAACUACCCUUUACCGGGGCAUAGUCACGGGAAACUGUGAAUAAUUCCGUAUAUGUUUCAGGGCUGCAUGGCCUUUGGAAUAAAACUCAGGUGGUAGAGGAUGGGCGUGCGUCUGAUUAGGUGUUGGCAGGGUAACGGCCUACCAAGCCUACGAUCAGUAGGGGGCGUGAGAGCGUGGCCCCCACACGGGUACUGAGACACGGACCCGACUCCUACGGGAGGCAGCAGUAAGGAAUAUUGUCAAUGGUGGGAACACUGAACCAGCCAUCCCGCGUGCAGGAUGAAGGCCCUCUGGGUUGAAACUGCUUUUACCAGGGAAGAAACGUGUGGGAUAUCCUGCACCUGACGGUACCUGGGGAUAAGCACCGGCUAACUCCGUGCCAGCAGCCGCGGUAA